rnacentral:precursor_RNA from 1 species
AGCGAGAACUUUCAAAUUCAGAGAAACCCUGGAAUUAACAGUGGGCAAUCCUGAGCCAAAUCCUGUUUUUCGCAAAAAUAAAGAAAAGUUAAGAAAGGGAGAAUAAAAAGGAUAGGUGCAGAGACUCAAUGGAAGCUGUUCUAACAAAAGGAGUUGACGAAAUUUCCCUUCGCAUUAGGAAAAAAAUCUUUCCGUCGAAAUUACGGAAAGGAUCAAGAAUAAACGUAUAUAUAUAUANAUAUAUGUACUGAAAUAUUAUUUCAAUUGGUUAAUGAAGACUNAAAAUCUCUAUUUGUGAAUAUUUAUAUCACAAAUGAAAGAUGUGCAUCAAAUCAUUUUAAAGUUGAAGAAAUAAUUGAAUAUUCAUUGAUCAAAUCAUUCAUUCCAUGAUAGUCUGAUAGAUCUUUUUAAGAACUUAUUAAUCAGACGAGAAUAAAGAUAGAGUCCCGUUCUACAUGUCAAUACCGACA